GUAGCCGAGGUUUGUCUUCUCUGAUCUUUCGUUUCCCGCCGAAUUUCGUGCGCCAGCUUAGCAUCAAGGCUCGCCGCAACUUUAGCAAUAUCGGUGUUGCGCAAAUAGUCGCUGCUUCGUGGUCGAAUGGUCCUGCUCCAGAUUCCCCCUCCUUGGCGGCUGCUGCUUCUGCUCAGGCAGCGGCAGCGGCAGCCGCCGUCACCGUCACCGUCACUAAUGACGGGGCGGCUGUAGAAAGUUGUAUUGACAACGGUAGUGUACAGAUUGGAGGUUCAGAUAAUUCGACGACAACGUUU
rnacentral:lncRNA from 1 species